GAGGCUGCAGCUCAGUGGUAGAGUAUCUGCUUGGAAUGCAGAAGGCUCCAGGUUCAAUUCCUGGCAGCAUCA